rnacentral:lncRNA from 1 species
GAGAGAAAAGAAUGAUAAAGAAGAGUGGCUCCCCGAAGGGUUUGAGGAGAGAAUGGAAGGUAAAGGACUAAUUAUAAGAGGUUGGGCUCCGCAAGUGCUGAUUCUUGAGCACGAAGCAAUCGGAGCCUUCGUGACUCACUGCGGGUGGAACUCCAUCCUUGAAGGAGUGUCUGCUGGGGUGCCAAUGAUCACAUGGCCCGCGUCGGCUGAGCAGUUUUACAAUGAGAAGUUGGUGACUGAGGUACUGAAAACUGGGGUUGCUGUUGGUGCUAAACAAUGGGGUGCAGGUACAUUUCUGGAUGUGAAGAAGGAAGCCAGUGUGAAGAGGGAAGCCAUAGAAAAGGCUGUAAAUCAAGUAAUAGCGAGUGAAGAAGCAGAGGGAAUGAAAGGCAGAGCCAGGGUGCUUAGAGAGAUGGCAAUGAGCGCUGUUGAAGAAGGUGGUUCGUCUUUCUCAGAUUUAACUUCUCUAAUUCAGGAAUUGGGGUCCCUUGGAGCAUGAACUACUUUCGACGGAUUAAAUCAUUGUAUACAAUGGAAAAUAUAAAUCUAAAUACAUAUUUUUAAGCUCAGUAGACUUGUCUCCCAAGUCACAACUACUGAUAUAUACCAACUCUAUCAACCAGUUUCUUCAGUCAAUCUUUUGCAGUGCUAUUAUUUCUCUUCUCCGUUAUUCUCCAUCUUCUACGCAAAUUACAAAUCUCUUACUACUUGAAAUGGACGAUAAAACCAACCAACCUCACAUUUUUUUCUUCCCUUGUAUGUCACACGGCCAUAUGAUACCAACCAUAGAUAUGGGCAAACUAUUUGCUUCAAGAGGCAUCAAAACAACCGUAAUUUCCACCCCUCUUAACUUAUCUCCUUCUCCAAAACCAAUGAUGACUCGUUUAUUAAUCCGCAAUCAAAAUGAGGAGAAUUCAAUUGAGGAGAAGUUCGAUUAAGAAAGAAUUAGAAUCAGAAGGUUUUUACUAAACUGGAGUUGUAGCUUAAUUUUAGUUAAAACACAUUCACCCUUGCACCUUGAGGUCCCGAAUUAUAAGUUAAAAAUGCUUCUAUUACUCAAAGAAUUUGUAGCUCAGUUUUAGUUAAACCGCAUUCACCCUUACCCCUUGAGGUGCCAAGUUCAAUGCCAAUUCACCCUCGUCCAAUAGCAGAUGGGUAAAACCCACGGAGCAUUAACGUGCAUUACUUGAGCAUGCUACUUUGCACCUUCCUAUAUCUGAUAAAUUAAAUCCCCAGGCAGCAAAACAAACAAGGUCCAAAACACCAUCCAUAGUAAAGCCAAGUAAAGGCAUCACUGCCGGCUGACGCCAGCGUGACGUCACAUAGCCCAACACAUUGCUCAACACGUUUUGGGUCGGCCUAAAAGCUGGCUUGGAUUGGGUGCUUGCCUAUUUGGAUCGGCUGGAGGGGUUUUAAGGGGUGCUAGCCUAUUUUUCCCACUUUGGACCAUCCUAUGUGCUUGGGUUGGAGUUGCUCUUAAAGUGGCAUGUUUGGAAAAAGAUUAUUACAAUGUUGAUUUUUUCUAUAUUCUAUUAUUUAAAUAUACUAUCAAGAAAAUUUUAUUUAAAAGAAAGAUCAUAUCAACAUAAUAUAAUAAAUAGUUCGAAACAGUUUGAGUUCAAUUUUUUUAAACUCGCUCGAGAUUGGCACGUACAAGAAGCAACUUAAACUUAAAUAUAGUAGUGCUAUUCGGUUUGAGUCGACUCAUUUACAAUUCUAUAUCCAUUCGACUUUAUCAAAUAUAGGACUAAGGCUUGUUUUAUUUAUUUAUUGUUAGUCGAUUUUCAUGUUGCGUCGUUUAAGAAUUCAAUCACCAGAGAUCAAUGUAUAAAAUAUCGAUGAUAUCGGAAAUAUCGGUAGUCCAAAAAUACGGAAAUUUCGAUGGAAAUAUCGGGAUAUUAUCGAUAUCGAUAAAAAUUGAAUAAAAACCACGGAAAUUGUAAGAAAAACUUGAAAAUUUUUAUUGAAACUUUGCAGGAUGUUUAUUUAGUCAAUUAUCUAUUAGUUUAACACAAAAAAUUGGAAGGAAAUACAUUACAUAAUAGAUAUAACUGAUUUAAGUUGAUUAUAUAGCGAGCUGAUAAAUAUUGUGAGUGUAGAAAAUAUGUAGUAAUUAAUGAAAGAAGUUUAAACACACCAUAAUCAUUUAUAUAUAAUGAAUUAGUACAAUAUUUUACACUUUAUACAUUGCAUGGUAAGAUACAUGAGUGACUUAGUAAGGUCUAAAAUAUCGAUGAUAUCGGAAAUAUCGGUAGUCCAAAAAAAUAUCGGUAGUCCAAAAACACGGAAAUUUCAAUGAAAAUAUCGGAAUAUUAUAGAUAUUUUAGACCAUGCUAGAGAUACAAACUUUUAAUAGAUCUUAAUCACCAAAUACCAUGGUAAUCUUCUUUUUUUAGGGAAAUAUAAGGGCUUAAAUUAAAGAGCUAGGGUGGCUACAAUACAACCCGACAAUGAGUUUACAAAGGCUUUGAGUAGUGCGAGAUAGGCUAAUCACCAGAUUGCUCUGGAAUAGAUGAAUCGACGUGUCGGUUUGGGGUAUGGUCAGUUCACUAGGAGGAUCAUCCUCCAAAUUCGAAGUUUUUUCCUGAAAAUUUCAACCUUGUUAACUAUGACAACAAUCGCGACUAUAAUCAAACUCGUGAUUAUAGGAGGGCUGCUCAUGUCACAUCACUAUUCGUGGAUUCGGGCAAUGUGACAGGUUCACCCAAUAAUUCAAACUCAAAUGUGGACAAAAUGAUCUACGUAUGCAAUGACAUAACAAAGCCAUUUUAGUCUUUGCCACUUGGCAGAACUUGAAUUUAAAAAAAAAGAAACAAAUCGUUAAAUCCCAAGUCUCAAAGUAAUAUAUUGAAUCUUUCAGCUCACUGGUUAGUAUCAACUCUCUUCAUCAAUCAUCACCAUCCAUUAUUGGAGGUUGGAGCUUUUUUUUGCAUUCUGUCUAGUCCCCAUGGAAACUAAAUCCCAUAUGCAGCUUCACAUUUUCUUCUUCCCAUAUAUGAUUCAAGGCCACUUCAUACCCCUUAUAAACAUGGCCAAACUAUUUGCUUCUCGUGGUGUAAAAUCCACCCUAAUAACCACCCCUCUCAAUGCACCUCUCUUUUCCAAGGCAAUCCAAAGCAGCAAGAAAUUGGGAUUUGAUGUUGACAUUCUUGUCAUCAAGUUCCCAACUGAGGAAGUAGGGUUGCCUCAAGGAUGUGAAAAUGCUAACUUAGCUACCACCAGGGAGAUGAACGAAAAAUUCAUCAAAGCCACCUUCCUUCUUCAACCACAAAUUGAGCAGAUUUUAUACGAACACCGCCCUCAUUGCCUUGUUGCAGACAAUUUCUUUCCUUGGGCAACAGAUGUUGCUGCCAAGUUUGGUAUUCCAAGGAUCAUAUUUCAAGGCCUCGGUUUUUUCGCUUUGUGUGCUUUUCAUAGUGUGGCGUUGUAUGAGCCUCACGCGAAGCUGUCAUCUGAUUCAGAAGUUUUUACUAUUCCUAGUUUUCCAGUUGAGAUCAAGCUGACAAGAAGCCAAAUCCCGAAUUUUCCCAAGCAAAGUGCUGAAUUCACCAAGUUGUUUAAAGAGGCGAUGGAGAGCGAGGAAAAGAGCUAUGGGUUCAUUGUUAACAGUUUCUAUGAACUUGAACCGGCUUUUGCAGACCAUUACAGGACAGUGUUGGGGAGGAAGGCAUGGCAUAUAGGCCCGGUUUCGUCAGUCAAUAAGGCAGCAGAUGACGAAGCCUUCCUCGAUCGGCACGAGUGCUUGAAUUGGCUUAGUUCUAAGAAACCCAAUUCAGUUGUUUACAUAUGUUUCGGAAGUAUGACCAAAUUCAUUGACUCUCAGCUCCUAGAAAUUGCAGCGGGGCUUGAGGCUUCUGGGCAGGAGUUCAUUUGGGUUGUGAAGAGAGAAAAGAACGAUAAAGAAGAGUGGCUCCCCGAAGGGUUUGAGAAGAGAAUGGAAGGUAAAGGACUAAUUAUAAGAGGUUGGGCUCCGCAAGUGCCGAUUCUUGAGCACCAAGCAAUCGGAGCCUUCGUGACUCACUGCGGGUGGAACUCUAUCCUUGAAGGAGUAUCUGCUGGGGUACCAAUGAUCACAUGGCCCGUGUCGGCUGAGCAGUUUUACAAUGAGAAGUUGGUGACCGUGGUACUGAAAACUGGGGUUGCUGUUGGUGCUAAACAAUGGGGUACACAUCUGGAUGUGAUGACGGAAGCCAGUGUGAAGAGGGAAG